CAGAAUGAAUGUAUGCUCAGCAUCAGAAAACAUGCCUUUCUCCAAACCUCGUAUGCCAUCACCAAAGAGUGAGCAAAGACCAAUCUCAGGCCAUGAUUAUGAGGCUGAAUACACCAAUGUCGAUGAUCUUGGCAUGUAUGGAAACGUCUUAUAAUAAUGCAAAAAAGAGGAUUCAACACAUUUUUUUUAAAACUCAAUACACAUACAUCCGAGAAGAUGCACUGUUCGAGUUGAGAUGUACUUUUCAGUAAGUCAAGAUGCUUAAUACUCACAUUGAUUUUGUUAACACUGUUUUUUCUGUACGGUGCACCUGCUUCGAAUGUUAUCACUCGAUUGAAUGUGUGUUAUCAGUGGUUAUCAACUGAAAGAUAUAGGCCAGGUAGGCUCAGAAGGCUGUUAUCAUCCAUCCACAUGGUUAAUCAGCUACUGUAUACUAAUAGAGAAGACUCCAGAUGUGUUUUGUAUUAAUGUGAUGGUUGGGUUUAGGGUUGGGGUAGAUGUUAAUAAAAUACAAUUAAUACGAAAUUUAAUAAAUAAUACAAAUAAUUCUCGUGGUUAAUCAGCUAUACUAAUAGAGAAGACUC